AUUGAACGCUGGCGGCAGGCCUAACACAUGCAAGUCGAGCGAGCGGCGGACGGGUGAGUAAUGUAUGGGGACUGCCCGAAAGAGGGGGAUAACUACGGGAAACGGUGGCUAAUACCACAUACUAUGGGAUAACCCAUAAGGGAUUGGCUAGUAGGUGGGGUAAAGGCUCACCGAGGCGACGAUCUCUAGCUGGUCUGAGAGGAUGAGCGGCCACGCUGGGACGGAGACACGGCCCGGAAUCCUACGGAGGCAGCAGGGGGGAAUAUUGCACAAUGGGCGCAAGCCUGAUACAGCCAUGCCGCGUGUAUGAAGAAGGCCUUAGGGUUGUAAAGUACUUUCAGCGGGGAGGCGUUACCCGCAGAAGAAGCACCGGCUAACUCCGUGCCAGCAGCCGCGGUAAUUC
rnacentral:rRNA from 1 species